rnacentral:rRNA from 1 species
CUACGGGGCGCACCAGUGGGGAAUAUUGCGCAAUGGAGGCAACUCUGACGCAGCAAUGCCAUGUGUGUGAUGACGGUCCUAGGAUUGUAAAGCACUUUCAGUGGGAAAGAUAAUGACGGUACCCACAGAAGAAGUCCCGGCUAACUCCGUGCCAGCAGCCGCGGUAAUACGGAGGGGGCGAACGUUGUUCGGAUUUACUGGGCGUAAAGGGUUCGUAGGCGGAUAAGUAAGUCAGAUGUGAAAGCCCGGGGCUUAACCUCGGAAUUGCAUUUGAAACUGCUUAUCUAGAGUCUUGGAGAGGAUAGCGGAAUUACCAGUGUAGAGGUGGAAUUCGUAGAUAUUGGUAGGAACACCAGUGGCGAAGGCGGCUAUCUGGCCAAGUACUGACGCUGAGGAACGAAAGCGUGGGGAGCAAACAGGAUUAGAUACCCGUGUAGUC